rnacentral:rRNA from 1 species
UUGACCUCGGAUCAGGUAGGGAUACCCGCUGAACUUAAGCAUAUCAAUAAGCGGAGGAAAAGAAACCAACAGGGAUUGCCUCAGUAACGGCGAGUGAAGCGGCAACAGCUCAAAUUUGAAAUCUGGCCCCUGGGCCCGAGUUGUAAUUUGUAGAGGAUGUUUUGGGUACCGCUGCAGUUUAAAUUUCUUGGAACAGAAUGUCAGAGAGGGUGAGAGUCCCGUCUGGAACUGCGGUAGGGCCUGUGUAAAACUCCUUCGACGAGUCGAGUUGUUUGGGAAUGCAGCUCAAAAUGGGUGGUAAAUUUCAUCUAAAGCUAAAUAUUGGCCAGAGACCGAUAGCGCACAAGUAGAGUGAUCGAAAGAUGAAAAGCACUUUGAAAAGAGAGUUAAACAGUAUGUGAAAUUGUUGAAAGGGAAGCGCUUGCAACCAGACUUGAGUGUGGUGGUUCCCCCUUGCUUCUGCUUGGGUUACUCCAUCAUAUCCAGGCCAACAUCGGUUCUAGGGGUUGGUUAAAGGCCCUGGGAAUGUACCUACCUCCGGGUAGACUUAUAGCCCAGGGUGUCAUGCAGCCUCCUGGGACCGAGGAACGCGCCUCGGCGAGGAUGUUGGCGUAAUGGUUGUCAGCGACCCGUCUUGAAACACGGACCAAGGAGUCUAACAUCUAUGCGAGUGUUUGGGUGUCAAACCCGUACGCGAAAUGAAAGUGAACGGAGGUAGGAAGCCGCAAGGCUGCACUAUCGACCGAUCCUGAUAUUUAUGGAUGGAUUUGAGUAAGAGCAUAGCUGUUGGGACCCGAAAGAUGGUGAACUAUGCCUGAAUAGGGUGAAGCCAGAGGAAACUCUGGUGGAGGCUCGCAGCGGUUCUGACGUGCAAAUCGAUCGUCAAAUUUGGGUAUAGGGGCG